GACGAACGCUGGCGGCGUGCCUAAUACAUGCAAGUCGAACGAGAGCGCCCGGUGCUUGCCCUGGUCAAUCUAGUGGCGAACGGGUGAGUAACACGUGGGUAACCUGCCCAUCAGAGGGGGAUAACAUCCGGAAACGGAUGCUAAAACCGCAUAGGUCUUCGAACCGCAUGGUUUGAAGAGGAAAAGAGGCGCAAGCUUCUGCUGAUGGAUGGACCCGCGGUGCAUUAGCUAGUUGGUGGGGUAACGGCUCACCAAGGCCGUGAUGCAUAGCCGACCUGAGAGGGUGAUCGGCCACAUUGGGACUGAGACACGGCCCAAACUCCUACGGGAGGCAGCAGUAGGGAAUCUUCCGCAAUGGACGCAAGUCUGACGGAGCAACGCCGCGUGAGUGAAGAAGGUUUUCGGAUCGUAAAACUCUGUUGUUAGAGAAGAACAAGUGCUAGAGUAACUGUUAGCGCCUUGACGGUAGCUAACCAGAAAGCCACGGCUAACUACGUG
rnacentral:rRNA from 1 species